UACGGAGGGUGCAAGCGUUAUCCGGAAUCACUGGGUUUAAAGGGUGCGUAGGCGGCUUGGUAAGUCAGAGGUGAAAGCUUCCCGCUCAACGGGAGAACUGCCUAUGAUACUGCCAGGCUUGAAUCAGCACGAGGCAGGCGGAAUGUGGCAUGUAGCGGUGAAAUGCUUAGAUAUGCCAUAGAACACCGAUUGCGAAGGCAGCCUGCCAGAGCUGUAUUGACGCUGAGGCACGAAAGCGUGGGGAGCGAACAGG
rnacentral:rRNA from 1 species